UACGGGGGGAGCAAGCGUUGUUCGGAUUUACUGGGCGUAAAGGGCGCGUAGGCGGUCAGCACAAGUCAGUUGUGAAAUCUCCGGGCUUAACUCGGAAAGGUCAACUGAUACUGUGCGACUAGAGUGCAGAAGGGGCAACUGGAAUUCUCGGUGUAGCGGUGAAAUGCGUAGAUAUCGAGAGGAACACCCGUGGCGAAGGCGGCUUCUGGGACGGUACUGACGCUGGAGACGCGAAAGCGUGGGGAGCGAACAGG
rnacentral:rRNA from 1 species